rnacentral:rRNA from 1 species
AGAGUUUGAUCAUGGCUCAGAUAGAACGCUGGCGGCAGGCCUAACACAUGCAAGUCGAGCGGAAACGACAACAUUGAUUCUUCGGAGGAUUUGUUGGGCGUCGAGCGGCGGACGGGUGAGUAAUGCCUAGGAAAUUGCCUUGAUGUGGGGGAUAACCAUUGGAAACGAUGGCUAAUACCGCAUAAUGCCUACGGGCCAAAGAGGGGGACCUUCGGGCCUCUCGCGUCAAGAUAUGCCUAGGUGGGAUUAGCUAGUUGGUGAGGUAAUGGCUCACCAAGGCGACGAUCCCUAGCUGGUCUGAGAGGAUGAUCAGCCACACUGGAACUGAGACACGGUCCAGACUCCUACGGGAGGCAGCAGUGGGGAAUAUUGCACAAUGGGCGAAAGCCUGAUGCAGCCAUGCCGCGUGUAUGAAGAAGGCCUUCGGGAUGUAAAGUACUUUCAGUUGUGAGGAAGGGUGUGUAGUUAAUAGCUGCGUAUCUUGACGUUAGCAACAGAAGAAGCACCGGCUAACUCCGUGCCAGCAGCCGCGGUAAUACAGAGGGUGCGAGCGUUAAUCGGAAUUACUGGGCGUAAAGCGCAUGCAGGUGGUUCAUUAAGUCAGAUGUGAAAGCCCGGGGCUCAACCUCGGAACUGCAUUUGAAACUGGUGAACUAGAGUGCUGUAGAGGGGGGUAGAAU